rnacentral:rRNA from 1 species
UACGUAGGGUGCAAGCGUUGUCCGGAUUUAUUGGGCGUAAAGAGCUCGUAGGCGGUCUGUCGCGUCGGAUGUGAAAACCCAGGGCUCAACCCUGGGCCUGCAUUCGAUACGGGCAGACUAGAGUGUGGCAGGGGAGACUGGAAUUCCUGGUGUAGCGGUGAAAUGCGCAGAUAUCAGGAGGAACACCGGUGGCGAAGGCGGUUCUCUGGGCCUUACCUGACGCUGAGGAGCGAAAGCGUGGGGAGCGAACAGG